UACGGGGGGUGCGAGCGUUGUCCGGAAUCAUUGGGCGUAAAGAGCGCGUAGGCGGCUCGGUAAGUCCGCUGUAAAAGUCAAAGGCUCAACCUUUGAAUGUCAGUGGAAACUGCCGGGCUAGAGUCCGGAAGAGGCGAGUGGAAUUCCUGGUGUAGCGGUGGAAUGCGCAGAUAUCAGGAGGAACACCAACGGCGAAGGCAGCUCGCUGGGACGGUACUGACGCUGAGGCGCGAAAGCGUGGGGAGCGAACAGG
rnacentral:rRNA from 1 species